rnacentral:lncRNA from 1 species
CCUGGAAAGGGCACGUGGGAACAGGCAUGGUGCUGUGCUGUCCUGGUUUCUCAUUCAGAAACGUCAGCUGGGGCCGCGCAUCUGCUCGCAUCGCAUGGCCCCUGGGCAUCCCCAGGCUGGACAGAGGCUCAAGGGGCCAGCUGCUUACAGGCCCAGGCCCGGGUCCGCCAUCGGGUCCUGCCACAAGCCCAGCUCUGGGCCCUCCUCGGGCUCCCACCUGGUAGGACAGAUGCCUGUUUGACCCCUGGCCUCAGGAGUCCCUGUCCCCAGGCCUCUCUCCCACCAGCUCCAUCACGGACCCCGCCACUGCGGACCCAGGUGGAAACCUCGUCUCCAGGAAGCCCCCGCCUGGCCCUCUGCAGCAGAAGCUCUAGGGCGGGGCGCCCUCUGCAAUCUCACCCUCCCAUGGUCCCUCUGAGUAAUUCCCGAGAGGCGUGGGCAGCCCGUGUAGCCUAUGCCACACUGACCCUGGCGCCACACUGACCCUCAACGUGGGAGCAGGGGGUGAAGUGAAUAAGUUAGUGGAGUGGCCAAGGCCCAGCUAACUCUGACUCCGAACUGCAGGUGAGGACCAGCUGAGGAGAACUGGGCCUCAUUAGCAGGUCCCUGGCCACCCCAGUCCCUGUACUGUGUGUCCCCAAGGCAGCCCAUUGUGGGCCUGCAAAGGAAGGGACCACUGGCUGAGCCCCACCUGCGUGGGCAGGGGUGCCUGAAGUGCCACAGGGAGGCCUGGGUGAGCUGCACGGGGGCCUGGGGAGGGCCACCUCGCCCCCGGCACAUCUCCCAG